rnacentral:rRNA from 1 species
GGCGGACGGGUGAGUAAUGUAUAGUUAAUCUGCCCUUUAGAGGGGGAUAACAGUUGGAAACGACUGCUAAUACCCCAUACUCCUUUUAUAUUAAUUGUAAUUGGGAAACGUUUUCUCGCUAAAGGAUGAGACUAUAUGGUAUCAGGUAGUUGGUGGGGUAAGAGCCUACCAAGCCAAUGACGCCUAGCUGGUCUGAGAGGAUGAUCAGCCACACUGGAACUGAGACACGGUCCAG